ensembl:lncRNA
CUUAUCCCUGCACUGGCACCAGGUUAAUAACUCCUUUAUCUCUACUGAAGUCUGGCAGCACUAUCAUCAUUCAUUUGUACUGGUGUGGUGAUCCAGAAGACACCUUGUCAACCUCAAUGAUGCUGUUGGGGCAGCAUAAACAAGGCACUCCUGUUUCUGAAACAGUCCCCUGUCACAUGCAGAGCAGCUGAUGGAACAGAGAACCACCUUUGUACACGCUCAGUGCCACCCAUGGAUACACAUUGCUGCUGGAGCCUGGUGCUGCUGGAGAGGUUACAUGGGACUGGAUGAGCUUUGCAACUUGGUUGAGAUACUGUGGCUUUAUGACUGCAUAAAGGAAGUCCAGGAGCUUGUCUCUCACUACCAAGUCAAGUUUCAUGUUCCACUCCAGAAGGAAUUUCUUUUGUUGGAAUGGCCCAAAUCAGGGUUUGGAGUGACCUUUCCAUGCAGAUGUUCUGCAGAGAACCCAGUCCCCAGAAAACCCAACAGGGAUGAGCCAGGAAAUGAAGUGCUGAGAAUCUCGGGCUUGAUCUGGAAGGCAGCCAGGGCACACUCCCGAAAGCAAGCAGGAAGGCUUCUGCCUUGAAUAAGGGCUGACGGAUCCUUUGUUGCAGACAUUGGAGGUAAUCCCUUUAAGAAAACCACCUGAGCUAGCAGAAAACUGCAGAGCAGCCCAUUUGUCAAGCAGCUGUACAGGCUUGUUGAUAUAUUUGUUCUGGAGACAAUGCCUCUUACACACUGCUCAGCUGGGAAGCAUUUGGAAACAUUUUAUGGACGGAUUCAGCAUUAAAUGGUGGGGUUGACUGCAGACUGCAGUGAAAGAUUGUAGUAUCUAAGUCAUCUUUCAACAAGCUCAUGCCAUUUUUAGAUGCAAUUUACCUGGUAACAUUCACCCUGGGGAAGCACAGACGUCACCUGUGCUCUCAUUCACCCAAGCAGAUCACUUCACACAGCUUCACUAAGAGCUAAGCCAUCAGAGGAGCCCUGAUGGCAGAAGUCGCAAGAGAAGGACUAAAUCAAAGCACCACCAUUCAGCUGGAAAGUCUCUGUGUCUCUGUGUGCUGCUCCUGUUGGAGCUGGAAUGGAUCUGUCUGUGUGGGCCAAGACUUGUAGACCCUCCUGCCACUGUGAGCCAGUGCUAGGACAAAUCCAGGUGGAGAUGCUUGGUCCUUUGGUACAGAAACAGAGCUGAUGUUGGCUGCACUCCCUGCCGUAAGCACCGCACUUCCCAUAAAUCAUUAAUUUUUAACUUCUCUCAGUCUAUGCCAGGAACUAAAUCACUGUAAAAUAACUCAUGCUCAAUUUGAAAAAGAGACUGAGAUAAGCCAAGAUAUUACCUUUCCUCUUUGAAGGAAUUUUACUCUCUGAGGCCUAGUAGGUACAGUAGAACUGUUUGCACAUUCCACCAUCUCUGUCCUUCCUUUCUAGUUCCUCACUGGACUUUUCUCAUCACAGAAACUCUCUAAUAAUUUUCCUCUUCAUGUUCGUAUGCCUUUUCUAAACUCUACUCUCUGAAUUUUCAUCUUGUUUAAAUUUAUCUUUCUCUACUUUUUCCAUUAUUAUUUUCUCUAUUAUUUCCAUUAUUAGAAAGGUAUAAAGGCUAAAUGAGGUGAAUGAGAGUUUCACCCUCCAAUUUUUUUAGUUGCAUUUUCCCAGUCAAGCCCUGGUUCUCAGUCUCAAAAUUCUUACAUUAAAGUUUCCCCUUCAAACUUAGACUAGAUGUAGCUAACAUGCCCAAAACUUUGAAGGCGGAUUUCUGAGUUCCUUUCAGCCUAGUAGGUAAAAACCUGCCUCUGGCUCUGCUCUCAAGAUACAUCAAAUGAUCAUGCUGUCUGCUUUCAAACUUUCACCUGAAAUGAAAGUGAGUUUCUAUCUUGAUUUCUUAGCCAUAUUUAGACUAUUGAUUUUAAAAUUUCUAGUUUAUCUAAUAAGUUUGCAUGUAAGGUAUAAAUGAGAUCAAAAGCCUACUUUGGCUGCUUUUAUUUGCAAAGCAGUAUGUUUUACAAUCUCACAAGCAGUAUGUUUUACAGUCUUUACAAUCUCAGUGUUUUUUCCCCUUAAGUGGCUUUAAAAGCAGUUGAUACCAUUGCAGCAUGUUUACACCUGCUUUAUAAACAUCACUGGUGCUGUCCCAAGCACUGGAGGAGCACACUGGUGACAUUAACAUGUCUGCAGCACAGCAGAAGGGAGAUGGGGUGUUCUGCACCUGAGCUUGGCUAUGAGACAUGUUUGUUGUUCUUGUGCCACACAACCCUGCCCCUCCAACUAGCUGGGAUCCAUCCAGAGUCUCCAGGAAGGGAUAAAAUACUACUUCAGUUUCAGCAUAGAAAGUCUCCCUGCUGUGCAAAAAUCCAUAACUACCCAACCCCUGACAGGGGCUGGCAAUUUUCCUGGAGGUCUUGAUCAUGAGAGCUUGUCCAUCCAGGUCAGGAAAAGGUGGAUGGAUGGAGCAGCCCUGGGAAAUCUGUAUACCACAUGCUGCCAAAAACCCAUUCAGUGAAAGUCUUCUGUCUUCCAUGCAGUUUCAUAAAGAAUUUUCAUGGCAUAUGAAAUGAGUCAGGAUUUUUUCUGGUUAAAUUAUAUUUGUAGUCUGUGGAGAAGUACACUUUCCUUGCAAGCUGAACAGUUACUGCAGAGGAUUAAUUUUAGUUUAACUUUGAUCAGAAAAGGUCUGUUAGGUACAGAGAGGUAAAUCUCAUCUAAGAAUAGUUUUGUUUUAGUCACGGAACAAAAUUCACAUUUCCUAAAACAAAACAAACAAAACAAGGUGAAAGGGAGUAAGAGAAAACAGAGAGAAGGGAAGGGCUAAGAUCUGAUAAAUGUUGGAGACUGUGACCUAUUACUUAUGAAAUUACUGUGCUGUGAAAAUAAAAGUUUGUUCUGUUCUGCUUAGGAAUUUAGG